CCUACGGGACGCAGCAGUGAGGAAUAUUGGUCAAUGGCCGGAAGGCUGAACCAGCCAAGCCGCGUGAAGGACGAAGGUGCCAAGCAUUGUAAACUUCUUUUGUCAAGGGACAAAAUCAGGCUCGAGAGCCUGACCGAGGGUACUUGAAGAAAAAGCAUCGGCUAACUACGUGCCAGCAGCCGCGGUAAUACGUAGGGGGCAAGCGUUAUCCGGAUUUACUGGGUGUAAAGGGAGCGUAGGCGGUUUAGCAAGUCAGAAGUGAAAGCCCGGGGCUCAACUCCGGGACUGCUUUUGAAACUGUUGAA
rnacentral:rRNA from 1 species